GACGAACGCUGGCGGCGUGCUUAACACAUGCAAGUCGAGGGACCGGCGCACGGGUGAGUAACACGUAUCCAACCUGCCCUUUACUCGGGGAUAGCCUUUCGAAAGAAAGAUUAAUACCCGAUAUAAAGGAUGGGGAUGCGUUCCAUUAGGUUGUUGGUGAGGUAACGGCCCACCAAGCCUUCGAUGGAUAGGGGUUCUGAGAGGAAUGUCCCGCACAUUGGAACUGGGACACGGUCCAAACUCCUACGGGAGGCAGCAGUGGGGAAUCUUCCGAAAUGGACGAAAGUGUGACGGGGCAACGCCGCGUGAGUGAUGACGGCUUCGGGUUGUAAAGCGCUUUUAUUCGGGACACGGUACCGGAAUAGAAAGCCACGGCUAACUACGUGCCAGCAGCCGCGGUAAUAC
rnacentral:rRNA from 1 species